rnacentral:rRNA from 1 species
UACGUAGGGUGCAAGCGUUAAUCGGAAUUACUGGGCGUAAAGCGUGCGCAGGCGGUUUUGUAAGUCAGAUGUGAAAUCCCCGGGCUUAACCUGGGAACUGCGUUUGAAACUACAAGGCUAGAGUGUGACAGAGGGGGUGGAAUUCCACGUGUAGCAGGUGAAAUGCGUAGAGAUGUGGAGGAACACCGAUGGCGAAGGCAGCCCC